UACGUAGGGUGCAAGCGUUGUCCGGAAUUAUUGGGCGUAAAGAGCUCGUAGGCGGUUCGUCGCGUCGGCUGUGAAAUCCCGAGGCUCAACCUCGGGUCUGCAGUCGAUACGGGCGGACUGGAGUUCGGCAGGGGAGACUGGAAUUCCUGGUGUAGCGGUGAAAUGCGCAGAUAUCAGGAGGAACACCGGUGGCGAAGGCGGGUCUCUGGGCCGAUACUGACGCUGAGACGCGAAAGCGUGGGGAGCGAACAGG
rnacentral:rRNA from 1 species